rnacentral:piRNA from 1 species
UACAUAUAUAUAUAUGAGUCU